rnacentral:rRNA from 2 species
CAUGCUGCAGUAGAUGAUGCUGAAGAAUCAUCACUACUGAGCUGUCGACACGAGUUGCUGCUCGUCAUCAGUGGCAUCAUGUGCACACUCUGACAACAUACCCAAUCACAUCCUGUGCACCCUUUGUAGUUUUAUGGUGUGGGGGACUCUGUCUUCCCACGGUGGUUUGAUGUUUUUACCCACACCCCCCCCCCGUGAUAAAGUUUCCUGGAAUGUACAUUGGGGUUAACGCAAUUCCAUUCCAAUUUCAGCAAAGGGUCUUUUGGCUUUUGGCUUGAUUAAGAACGGAAGGGAAUGCCAUAAGUAAUGUGAAUUGCCGAAUUCAGUGAAUCAUUGAAUCUUUGAACGCCCCCUGCGCCCUUUGGGUAUUUCGAAGGGCCAGCCUGUUUGAGUAUCCUGAACCCCUUAAAUUUCAUGGUUUGCCCUGGUGAGGUUGGACUUUGGGGGUCUUGCUGGCCUAUGGUCAGCUCCUCUAAAAUGAAUCAGCUUGCCAGUGUUUGGUGGCAUCACAGGUGUGAUAACUAUCUAUGCUUGUGGAUUUCCAUCAGAUAACCUUCAGUGAUGAAGGUUCGCUGGGGCUCACAAAUGUCUCUCCUCGGUGGAGACUGC